AGACAUAUUAAAAACUGAGAGAAAUAAGAAGGAAGUCAUGGCUAGCUCAGGCAUUUCCUCCCAUAGAGCUCCAGGCAGUUGUUCCAGUGGGAGAAUGGGGAUCUCCACAGGAGUGGGGGCAUCUCUAGGAUGAGAAGGAAUUUGGGAUGAUGGGAAGAAGAGUCUGGAAAAGCAGGAUCAGAGCCAGAAGAGAAAUAAGCCAUGGUUGACCUGGGAAUUUCCUCAAAGUAUAGGGAAAGAUUCCGAAAUAUUAGCUGUCCACAAACUCCAGGAAGAACAUCGAAAAAAUGGAGUUUGGCCAAGAUGAAGAAAAGAUUGAAGAAAAAGGGGGAGACCCAGCAGGGUCAUUAUAAUUGUCCACAAGCAUCCAAAAGGACAGUCGUGUAAAAGAAGUGAGGAGUGGGCUGUCCCCCAACAUGGCAGAACCCCCCUAUCCCAAGGCUUAAGGUCAUUGAGCAAAGGCGAGAUGCUCCCUUAGGUUAAUUGACCAAGGGUGUUAUAAAGAUUCUUACUCAGGUAGAGGCUAAAUCUGAUGGCCUCCGCCAAGACACUGCUAACAAAUGGGUACAGAUCAAUACAAGAAGGAACUUUCUAGGAAAUUCAAGUUAAAGUUGCUCUCUUCCUCUCCAAAAUCCUCUUUUGGGUGUUAUUCUAUACUCACUCAUUACCUGCAAGCUCUCAGCUACACUCUUGCCCUCCCAUUCUUGACACCCCAUCCUUGCCCCACAUCCUUCUUCCCUUCAGUUUUCCCCAUUUACAAAGUACCCCUCUCUGCCCCUCAUCUUCCCCUGUCCCUUCCAGUAUGCUCUUGACCAAGCAAUUCUAGCUUACAUUAACUUGGUGAGGAGUGUUAGAAAACAAUUUGUCUGUAAGAAAUGAAACAUGAAUUUCAGUAAUAAGAAAUGUUGAUUAUGAGGAAUUAGAGACUCAUGGGAAGACUUGGGUUAACUGAUGCAGAGAGGACCGUGGGAACAAGAAGUGCAUUGAUUGCAAUAAUGUAAAGAAAAACAGUCAAAGGAAACCAAAAUUGAUGUCACUAUAGUAGUUUAUCCAACAGAUGAAACAGAUUUCCUUCCUGGAAUUAGAAAGGUGGAAGACUAUGGGGGGCAGAACAAAACACAGACUUUCACCAGUCUCUAUUGGCUGUUUUUGUUUAACUAUUUUUCUUUGUUAUAAAAGAAGAUUCAAUUCCUGUGAUGGGGAGAACUGAGGCUAUAGCCAGAAAUGACUAAUGAAAAAAAAAACCCAAAAGAUAUCAAUAAAGCUUCUUUUUUAAAAAAUUGCUUGAACUACCUAUAAUUUGAGAGAAAAUCAAAGCCGGAACCGGUGGCGCCAUGUGCACCUUACAGAGAUUGCUUAGCAAAUUGUAAAUCCGACUUUGAAGAAGUCUAAUCUUUUCACCCAAACCUUAAACUCAAGUUACCAAACUUGCUAAUUAUUCCAUCUCUGCCUGCUCCGAAAAACGACAUAUUCUCAGGAAAAAUCUUGAGUGUUAAUUAUAGCAUCUCAAAGAUCUAGACUGAGAGGGCCUUCCCAAGGCCAUUAUUCCAACCCCUCACAUUAUACAGGAGGAAACCAAGAUCUAGUGAAGUUAAGUCAGUUAAAUAACUUACCCCAGAGAUACACAGGCUACAGAGACAAGAUCUAAUCCCAAAUCUUCUGCCUCUAGAGCCAAGGCCCUUCCUCCUGUCCCAUACUGCUCUACUACAACAACAAUAACAACUACAUACUUUAUCUUCAACUUUCCCAUGACUAACAAAUUUAAAACUUUACUACACAAGACAUAAUUCACCCACCAUCCAAGAAUUCUAGGAGUACUUAGUUUUAAAAUCCCUCCAAACAUCAAUAUUAACUCCAU